rnacentral:lncRNA from 1 species
AGUCAAUUUUUCCAAUUACCCCACGAGCACCAACACUUAAAAUCUAUUCUCUUCAAAGUCUUCCACCAAUUCCAAGUAGACUUCUUGUCUCCACAAGUGGAAACGUGAAAAUGAAGCACAAUUUACUGAUCAAAAAGUAUAAAUAAUCAAUACAUAUUUCACUAUUUUCUUUAAACUUAUUUUGGCAAUAAAAUUAAUACUAUAUCAUGAAGACAGAUUGUUCAGAUUUGGACGUGGCAUUAGUCGAUUCUUCCUUUGAUUGUAUUGAAAAAUUGCUCAAAUCUACAUAUUCUGUUAUUACGUCUGAUAUAGGACUGUUUUUAUAGAGUUUAUAUAGUAUCCACUUGUUACGAUUGACCAUUUUUCUAAUUAUCUGUUAUUUUGUUUGGAAAGAUUUUCUUUUUAAUUAUUUGUAUUGUAAUCUUUUCAUCAUUGUUAUAACAGUUUACAAUCUUAAUAUAUUUCAG